rnacentral:lncRNA from 13 species
AUGUCAAAUAUCAUUUUUAAAACAAUAAGUAUCGUUUUUCUGUGUGAUAAACCGUGUGUGGUUCAAAGUUGGCCGUUAUCAGGUCUCCUGCGUUACAGGCGACGGCAGGUCGACUUUGCUGCGGGAUGCGAGUUUGUGGGAUUGGUUCUCGCCAGAGGAGCGGGGAGACAGCAGCGACAUUGCGGUCGAAGUCGCCUAUCCAAAGCGGCUGGUGCAGCAGAUGGAGUCGGAGGAAGAAAUGUCCCACGGCUAUUUGGAUACUCGCAUGAAGAAUACCACGGGAGGUACCCCCCCAGUCCAUUUGGCCCAGAGUUGUUUCCAGGUGGAAACCUUCGGACACACCUUCACCCUGGACCUGGAGUUAAACCAGUGAGUACAUUUGAUUUGUCAACUUGAUUGACGUAUUCGCCACACCCCAUUUCCAUCAGUCCGUAUUCUCUUAAUCGCCACAAUCAUCAACGUUGGCAUUUCCAUAACCGCUACCGUUAGCAAAUACACUUUUCUCCUUCCAUGUAUGACACAUGAUCAAAUGCUUAGUGGAGCGUCAGGGACACAGAGACCCCGAGAGCUCCUUCAAUACAGCUACCCACCNNNNNNNNNNUCUCACCUUCUCCCUAUUUAAGCCAGUCCAUUUGGCCCAGAGUUGUUUCCAGGUGGAAACCUUCGGACACACCUUCACCCUGGACCUGGAGUUAAACCAGUGAGUACAUUUGAUUUGUCAACUUGAUUGACGUAUUCGCCACACCCCAUUUCCAUCAGUCCGUAUUCUCUUAAUCGCCACAAUCAUCAACGUUGGCAUUUCCAUAACCGCUACCGUUAGCAAAUACACUUUUCUCCUUCCAUGUAUGACACAUGAUCAAAUGCUUAGUGGAGCGUCAGGGACACAGAGACCCCGAGAGCUCCUUCAAUACAGCUACCCACCC